rnacentral:lncRNA from 1 species
UAAAAAUUAGAAAUGAUCUUAUUUUACAUCUCAAUUCCAGAUCACUCUCCCUCCUAUCCUCCCAGGCCCCCUGUGGAGCCCCCUCAUCACAUUCCCCAUCUACUGCCCAGGGAGGGUGAGGCCUUCGAUGAGGGAUCAUCAAAAUCUAUCAAGUCAUUUGGGGCAGGACCUUAGUGGUCCCCUGUUUACCAGGCUAAGAGAGUAUUGCUCCAUGGGAAAUGGGCUCCCAAAUCCAUUCGUGCAAUAGGGAUACAUCCUGGUUUCACUGCCAAAGGCCCCAUAGACUGCCCAGUGCUCCUAGCUGACACCCUGUUCAGGGGGCCUGGUUUGGUCCUAUGUUGUUUCCCCAGACUGGGGUGCAUGGGUUCCUACUUUCUCAGGUCAGCUGUUUCUGCAGGUUUUCCCAGCAUGAUCUAGACCCUUUAGUUGAUCACUCCUCCCUCUCUGAAACUGGAUUCCAGGACUUGGGCUCUGUGCUUACCUGUGGAUCUCUGCUUCUCCUUCCAUCAGCUAAUGGAUGAAGGUUCUAGCAUGGCAUUCAGGGCAGUCAUCAUUCUCAUGAUAGGGAAAGGGCAUUAAAGUUAUCCUCUCCCCUAUUGAUUAGGUUCCUUGUUGGGGUCAUUCUUGCGGAUCUCUGUACAAUUCCCUAGUGCCAGAUUUCUCUGUAAACCUACAGUGGCUCCUCUACUGAUGGUCUCUCUCCUUGCUCUGCUCUAUUCCUCUCCCCACACAAUCUUCCUCAUCCCUCAUGUUCUCAUCCCUCUCCUCCCCUCUCCUAAUUCAUUACCCUACCUCCAUA